UCCAGUUUUCUGGAGGCUGUUUCUACAGAAGCCUGUGCAUAUAAACAGAAGCUUACUAUGCAAAUGAAGGACAGCUCCACCUACAGUAAACCCGAAGAAUAAACCAACAGAGGCACAGGGACAGUUUACAUACUUUCUGGUAUGCAAAGGCCACCGUAGUUGCCUGAUGCACUUGGGACUAAGAGAAGGGAGCUGCAAUCUGCAGUCUAACCCUUAGAUAUCACUCAUUGUAACUCCUAGUUUCCCUAAUUUUCUAUUCUAUUGUGUUUUGUAAUGUAACAUCAGGAAUCGUAUCAUGGCAAACCAGAGUGAUCAGACCUGAGGAAGUCAGCGUCCGCCCCUUCACUAGCUUCCCAACAUCUCACUUCCUCCUCGAUGAGCCCGGCUGCAGUGGCGGCACAGGCUCGUCAGAUGUCUGAAGUGGAGUCACCAACCUUCCCUGUCUGCCUUUGUUUCUGCUGUUGACUCUUGGACUUGGAGAGAGGGGACAAAACCGCAGUCUGUCUUGCUUCCCACUUUGCACCUGAGGACCCGGCAACACAGCUCUAGAUCUGCCGAAUAUAGAGCGGAGUCGUCUGUGUGGGGGCGCUCUGCUACAGAGACCGGACGAUUCUAUGCUGCGGAACAGUGGAGGAGGUCGAAGAGCGGAAGGGGGUGCCGAAACUCCUACUCUCCUCUCAAAGCGUUCAUCCAUUUUGUUAUUUUAAAACCUCACAAAAUGUGACUUGGAUGUUUUCCAGUGUCCAGAAAUGUGUCCAUCGCCAGUUCAGAACUGUCAAAUACAAAUCCACAACAGUCCAAAGGCUAAAAUGAUCAAAAAUUAUUCCUCUGAAUAUGUAGAAGAAACCAUCUUUGCUGUUUCUUUCCUCUAAAAACUGUGAAUUGUUUUUCAAUGUGAAAAAUGUGGCAAAAAUAAUGAAAAGCUUCAGAAGAUAAGCAGAAAUGUGCCAGCAGAAUACACAUGUAUGUAAAAGUCAAACAACACUGACUCCUCAUCCAGGAUCCUUGUGGUCGUCAUGACAAUUCCAAUACGUCGAGUAGAAAUACCUCGAAGAUCAGACUCACCUUUCACCAUUCCUCAUCCUGGAUUUUCAUUUAACCAAAACAUCGUUGUUCUUCAAACUCUUUUUCCUUUCCCUCCGUGUCGCUUCUCGGUCCAGUGUCUUGUCCAGUCUGACUUUUUCUCGCUGAGCCAGAGAUGACACAUGUCUCUAAUCCAUACCACCCACCUGCUCUCUUUCAUCCCACUGCUCUCUUGGACAUGAAAGUCUCAGUCCAUCCAUAAAAUACGAGCAUGAGCGCAAAGAUGUCAGUAGUUUAUUUCAAAAACCUGGAGCCACACACACAACACACAACUGCUUUUUAAAAUAUUUUUACACACAUAAUCAUCCAGGCUCAGUAAACAGCAGGUGGGAUAUCCUGUAUGAAUCAUAUUUAAUUAAUCAUGCAGUACAUUAACUCCUAUUUUAUGCUGCUAUGGAUGCUUUUGUGAGUUUCAAUAAAGUUUGUAUGACUAUGAAUAAUAACGCAAAUACAAAAUUGAUUAAGACAACAGAGCUUUUGGGUUUGUUAGAGGUCUGAAAUUACACAAUGCUAGAGUAUAGUAUAUAUGGUAGAGUAUAGUCUUGAC